rnacentral:rRNA from 1 species
GGGUCAGUAGGUUGGUCGUGCCACCGGUACGUACUGGUCUCACUGAUUCCUCCUUCCUGAAGAACCGUAAUGACAUUAAUUUGGUGUUGCGGGGAAACAGGACUGUUACUUUGAAAAAAUUAGAGUGUUUAAAGCAAGCUAACGCUUGAAUACAUUAGCAUGGAAUAGUGAAAUAGGACGAUCGAUCCUAUUUUGUUGGUUUCUAGGAUUGACGUA